rnacentral:rRNA from 1 species
UGGGCGCAAGCCUGAUGCAGCCAUGCCGCGGUGUGUGAAGAAGGCCUUCGGGUUGUAAAGCACUUUCAGUCGUGAGGAAGGUAGUGUCGUUAAUAGCUGCAUUAUUUGACGUUAGCGACAGAAGAAGCMCCGGYYAACUCCGUG